ACUAACUCUAGCCUAACCUCCCUGAAGCCCAAAUAUAAUUCAAAAUAAUAAGAUAAAACAUUCACAAUAAAAAGUAUAGGAGAUAGAAAUUUAUAUAAGCGCUAUAGAAACAGUACCGUAAGGGAAAGAUGAAAGAAUAGUAAAAGUAAAAAAUAGCAUAGAUUAAACCUAGUACCUUUUGCAUAAUGAAUUAACUAGACAAAAUUUGACAAAAAGAACUUAAGUCAAAACCCCCGAAACCAAACGAGCUACUUUUAAACAGCUAAAAUAUUUGAGCAAACUCGUCUAUGUAGCAAAAUAGUGAGGAGAUUUAAAAGUAGAGGUGAAAAGCCAACCGAGCUUGGAGAUAGCUGGUUAUCCAAAUAAGAAUUUUAGUUCAACUUUAAGAUUUUUUCCUAAAACAAUAAAAUUUUAAUGAAAUCUUAAAUGUUAAAUUAAGGAGGGACAGCUCCUUAAAUAAGGAUACAUCCUUAAGCAGAGGGUAAAAAACUUACCUACCAUAGUAGGCCUAAAAGCAGCCAUCAAUUAAGAAAGCGUUCAAGCUCAACAAAAUAACUAACAAUAUCCCUAAAACACACAAUAACCCCCUGCAAAACAAUUGGAUUAAUCUAUAAAAAUAUAGAAGAGACAAUGUUAGUAUUAGUAAUUAGAAUUAUUUCUCCUUGCACAGGCCUAAGUUAAACAACCUAACCAGUUAACAACUUUGUAAUAAAUACACCCGACAGGUUAAAUAUUAAAAAAAUUGUCAACCCGACUCAGGAGUGCAACAAAGGAAAGACUAAAACAAGAAAAAGGAACUCGGCAAACAUAAACCCCGCCUGUUUACCAAAAACAUCACCUCUAGCAUCACAAGUAUUAGAGGCACUGCCUGCCCAGUGACAUCCUAAUGUUAAACGGCCGCGGUAUUCUGACCGUGCAAAGGUAGCAUAAUCACUUGUUCUUUAAAUAAGGACUAGUAUGAAAGGCUAAACGAGGGUUUAACUGUCUCUUUCUUACAGUCAAUGAAAUUGACCUCUCCGUGAAGAGGCGGAGAUCAUAAAAUAAGACGAGAAGACCCUAUGGAGCUUAAAUUAAAUAAUUCAUUUUACUACUACAAACAAUCAACAAGAGAUAAAAAGAGAAUUAUGAAUUAGCUAUUUUGGUUGGGGUGACCUCGGAGUAAAACCAAACCUCCGAAUGAUAUUAACUUAGACACACAGGUCAAAGAUAUAAUCAUAAAUUGACCCAGAAAAAAUCUGAUCAACGAACCAAGUUACCCUAGGGAUAACAGCGCAAUCCUAUUAUAGAGUUCAUAUCGACAAUAGGGUUUACGACCUCGAUGUUGGAUCAGGACACCCAAAUGGUGCAACCGCUAUUAAAGGUUCGUUUGUUCAACGAUUAAAGUCCUACGUGAUCUGAGUUCAGACCGGAGUAAUCCAGGUCGGUUUCUAUCUAUUAAAUAUUUCUCCCAGUACGAAAGGACAAGAGAAAUAAGGCCUAUAGACCACCUAUGCCUUAGUAGCAAAGAAAUGAUAUUAUAUCAAUUUCUUAACUACUAAUAACCCAUAACCCACGAUAAGGGUUU
rnacentral:rRNA from 1 species